rnacentral:rRNA from 1 species
UUCGCAAUGCCCGAAAGGGUGACGAAGCGACGCCGCGUGUGGGAAGAAGGCCUUCGGGUUGUAAACCACUGUCGGGAGUUAAGAAAUGCAAGGAUAUGAAUAGUGUCUUUGCUUGACUAAGGCUCCGGAGGAAGCCACGGCUAACUCUGUGCCAGCAGCCGCGGUAAUACAGAGGCGGCAAGCGUUGUUCGGAAUUAUUGGGCGUAAAGAGCACGUAGGCGGCCUUGUAAGUCAGUUGUGAAAGCCUUCUGCUUAACGGAAGAACUGCAUCUGAUACUGCAAGGCUAGAGUGCGGAAGGGGAGAGUGGAACUUCUGGUGGAGCGGUGAAAUGCGUAGAUAUCAGAAGGAACACCGGCGGCGAAGGCGACUCUCUGGUCCGUAACUGACGCUGAGUGUGCGAAAGCUAGGGGAGCAAACGGGAUUAGAUACCCCGGUAGUCCUAGCCGUAAAC